GAUGAACGCUGGCGGCGUGCUUAAUACAUGCAAGUCGAGCGAACAGACGAGGAGCUUGCGCCUCUGACGUUAGCGGCGGACGGGUGUGUAACACGUGUAUAACCUACCUAUAUGACUGAGAUAACUUCGGGAAACCGGCGCUAAUACCGGAUAAUAUAUUGAACCGCAUGGUUCAUUAGUGAAAGUCGGUUUUGCUGGCACUUCUAGAUGGAUCCGAGCGGCAUUAGCUAGUUGGGAAGGACAAGGCUUACGAAGGGGACCAUGCGUAGCCGACCUGAGAGAGUGGUCGGCCACAUGGGAGCUGAGACACGGACCAGACUCCUACGGGAGGCAGCAGAAUGGAAUGUUCCGCAAUGGGCGAAAGCCUGACAGAGCAACGCCGCGUGAGUGAUGAAGGUCUUCGGAUCGUAAAACUCUGUUAUUAGGUAAGAACAGAUGUGUAAGUAACUAUGCACGUCUUGACGGUACCGGAUCAAGAAGCCACGGCUAACUACGUG
rnacentral:rRNA from 1 species